rnacentral:rRNA from 1 species
UACGUAGGUGGCAAGCGUUGUCCGGAUUUAUUGGGUUUAAAGGGUGCGUAGGCGGCCUUUUAAGUCAGUGCUGAAAUACUCUAGCUUAACUAGAGGGGUGGCAUUGAUACUGAAAGGCUUGAGUGAAGUCGAAGUAGGCGGAAUUGACGUGUAGCGGUGAAAUGCUUAGAUAUCGUCAAGAACACCGACAGUGAAGACAGCUUACUAGACUUCAACUGACGCUGAGGCACGAAAGUGUGGGGAUCAAACAGG